ACAUUUAUAAAGUUGUUUUAUUAUAUGAAACAAAGAAAAUAAGUAACAUACUUACAUAUUAUAAUGUUUUGUACUACUAUAGCAUAGAAAAGUACUAUAGUACCAAUACCAGAGAUACCACUAACAAUAUUAACUAAAUUAAUUUGUAUACCAUGGAACAAUAUUAUAUCUUAGUUCAUGUUUCAAAAUUAAACCUAUGAAGUAUGAAGUUAAUAUUAUCACAGAACUAUGUAACCAUGGUUGAAAUACAUACAUCUUAGAAUAUAGUGAAUAUACCUUAUAAUUUAUAAAAGCUUCCAAUAUUGGUAAGGAAAGUAAGGAUUAGUUAAGUUCAAAAUUUAAUUAAAACAAACAAACACAUACACAAUACUUAUCAUUUACAUUAGCAGGCAUUUCUUUGUAAACUACACUUUGAAGAUAACCCCAAAGAAAAUAAUAUGGCGAAGUCAGAUCGGGACUACGAGGUGGCCAACAUAUUUUUGGACUGUACGUUCCCAUCCAAUUUGUACCAAAA